AUUGAACGCUGGCGGCAGGCCUAACACAUGCAAGUCGAGCGAGCGGCGGACGAGUGAGUAAUGUCUGGAAAACUGCCUGAUGGAGGGGGAUAACUGCUAGAAACGGUAGCUAAUACCGCAUAACAUCAUAUGUGCCCAGAUGGGAUUAGCUAUUAGGUGGGGUAACGGCUCACCUAGGCGACGCUCCCUAGCUGGUCUGAGAGGGUGACCAGCCACACGGGAAUGGAGACACGGUCCGGACUCCGACGGGAGGCAGCAGUGGGGAAUAUUGCACAAUGGGCGCAUGCCUGAUGCAGCGAUGCCGCGUGUAUGAAGAAGGCCUUAGGGUUGUAAAGUACUUUCAGCGGGGAGGCGUUACCCGCAGAAGAAGCACCGGCUAACUCCGUGCCAGCAGCCGCGGUAAUUC
rnacentral:rRNA from 1 species